AAUUAAUUAAUUAAUUGUAUUAGUCUUCAUUGUAUUAAUUAAUUAAUUGUAUUAGUCUUCAUUGUAAUUACACAUCUGCUCUGAUCAGUCUUCAUUAUAUUAAUUAAUUUUCCACUAUAUUACACAAUUAAUUAAUACACUAUGCAUUACACAAUUGCAUUACAUUGUAUUAAUUAAUUUUUCAUUACAUUACACAAUUAAUCACACUUACAUUACACUGAAAUUAUUUUUCAUUUAUUAAAUUUGUUGUGUAGAAAAUGACAUCAUCGAAAAGUAAUAGAAAAGACCCGAUGUGGCAAUAUGCCCAUUUGGUAGAGGAUAAUAAUUUAAAUAAGUUCGAGUGUAAUUUUUGUGAUAAAGUAUUAAAUGGAGGUGUUUAUCGGGUGAAACAACACCUUGCGGGAGGUUAUAAGAAUGUCACUGCCUGCCCGAAGUGUCCUUCUCAUGUAAGAGAAGAGAUUAGAGAGUUCAUGUCAAAAAAAAAGACACAAAAAGAAGAAAUGAACAUGUUGCCCGAUUUCGAUGACAUGCACAUGGAAGAUGAAGAUGAUGAUGAUGAAGAUGAUGAUGUCAUUGAGAUCAAUGUCAAUCAACACCGCAAGUUGACAAGUAGUAGUCAAGGUUCAACCAAAUCCAAAUCCAAAAUGCCAAAGAGAAAAGGGCCUAUGGAUGUUUACUUCACACCCAAUCCUGAAUCAGUGGUGAAAAAUCGAAGAGACCAAGCAAAAAAGAAACAAACCAAAAUUGAUGCAAAUGACCCUUACAAAAAAGAAAUGAGAGCUCGGGCACUGCAAAGAUUUGCAAGGUGGAUGUAUGAUGCUGGUAUCCCUUUUAAUGCAGUAAAUUAUGAGAGUUUUAGACCAAUGAUUGAAGCCAUUGGCCAAUAUGGUCCUGGUAUGAAGCCACCGACUUACCAUGAAGUGCGGGUUACCCAACUCAAAAAAGAAGUGAAACAUACUGAAGAUUUGAUGAAGUAUCAUAAAGAGGAUUGUGCAAAAUACGGGUGUUCCAUAAUGGCUGAUGGUUGGACUGAUAAGAGAGGAAAGACAUUGAUUAACUUUUUAGUUAAUUGUCCAAGAGGAAUCAUGUUUGUUGAGUCGGUUGAUGCUUCUAGCUAUUCAAAGGAUGGGCAAAAGCUAUUUGAAUUACUAGACAAGUUUGUGGAGAAAGUUGGAAAAGGGAAUGUGGUGCAAGUUAUCACUGAUAGUGCUGCAGCUAAUGUGUUGGCGGGUAAGAAUAUUUCCUCAUUCCUUACAUCAAAAUUGUUUACUCAUAGUUUGUUUUGUAUUUAAAAUUUAAAAACUUGAAAAUAAUAAUUCUUCGUUAUUGUUACAUUAUAGGGAGGUUUUUGGAAGCUAAGUAUGAACAUUUGUAUUGAACACCAUGUGCUGCUCAUUGUUUGGACUUGAUGUUAGAAGACAUUUUCAAGAUACCUAGACUGAAAAAGACAUUUGAAAGGGGUAUUGCAGUACAUGGCUACAUUUAUAAUCGGCCUACGUUGCUAAACAUGAUGAGGCGCUAUACAAAUUUGAAAAAUUUGAUCAAGCCUGCAAAAACUAGAUUUGCAACCGCCUUUUUGACUUUGUCUAGAAUGCAUCAACAAAAAAACAAUUUGAGAAAGAUGGUGAUCUCCGAAGACUAGAUCUCAAGCAAAUGGGCAAAGGAGCCACAAGGUAAAAGAAUGGCACAAACUUUGUUUAUGCCUUCAUUUUGGAAUACUGUUGUGUUUACCCUUAAGGUCUUGGGUCCUCUUGUCAAAGUGCUUAGAUUGGUUGAUACCGAGAAAAAACCUUCCAUGGGAUACAUUUAUGAGGCAAUGGAUAGGGCAAAAGAAUGCAUUGCAAGUUCAUUUGAUCAUAAAAAAGAGAAGUAUAAUGAAAUCUUCAAAAUCAUCGACAAAAGAUGGGAUGUCCAAUUGCAUCGGCCUUUACAUGCAGCUGCCCAUUUUCUUAACCCAGAAUUCUUUUACCCAAAAGCGUUAGAGUUGCAAAGAGAUCAUGAAUUGAUGAAUAGGUUUUAUGAAUGCAUGCAAAGGUUGGUCCUGGAUGUCACUAUUCAAGAUUUGAUCACUAAUGAGAUGAGUAUUUAUAUGAAGGCUGAGAGUCUUUUUGGUAAGUCUGUUGCGAUUAGGCAAAAAAAUACAAGAGCACCAGGUAAUAUAUUAUAGACUCAUAGAGUUUAUUUUUAAUAAUACUUUUAGUAAAACUCAAUACUUGGUAAUAGUUAUUUCUAACUAGUGGAUUAUCGCAGCUGAUUGGUGGACAUCAUAUGGUUCUUAUACUUCAAACUUGCAAACUUUUACCAUAAAAGUCCUUAGCCUAACAUGUAGUUCAUCGGGUUGUGAACGAAAUUGGAGUGUAUUCGAACAUCUUCAUAGCAAGAAAAGAAAUAAAUUGGAACAAUCAACGUCUCAAUGAUUUAGUGUAUGUCAAAUACAAUAGAACAUUGAGAUUUAGGUAUGACAUGCGCAACACUCUUGAUCCCAUAUCUUUGCAAAAUAUUGAUGAAAGCAAUGAGUAGUUGCUUGGGAGAAUGGAUGGAGAAUCAUAUGAAGAUAAUGAGCCUGUGUUUGAUGAUGAUUACUUCUUGACGUGGGCCACUGUUGCUAGAGCUUCUGGAGUAGAAGAAAGUAGCCAUGCAAGUAGAGCAAUAAGUUCAUGCUCAAAGGCACAACCGAGGAUAGCUAAAUCAUCAAGAUUAACUCCACUUCAAUUAAUAGAUGAAGAGGAAGCGGGCUCAGAUGACACGGAGGAGGAAGAUGUUGAGGGAUACAAAUCAGCUGAUGGAGAAGAAGAUGAUAGUUUGCUUGCCAUUGAUGUUGAGGAUGAUGAUUGACUGACCGACCUAACCUACCCUUUCUUUUGAUGUUGAUGUUUUUAAGUGUUAAGGCAUAUAUUAGUAUUUGUUGGAUAUUUAUGUUUUGGAUGUUUAGUGUUUAUGUUUAUGUUUUUAGAUGUUUGAAAUAUUAUGUAAUAUGCACUUUCAUGGCUUUGAGAAUUAUUCUAUAUUUUGUCUUGAAUCUUGAUUACCUUUUAUUUUUAAAAAAAUUGUCUUAGUACUAUGAAUGAUUAGUCUAUGUUAAUUUUUCUAUUUUUUACUAAGACUGUGCACCUUACUUCAAUAAAGCCCGCGCCUCGCCUUGCGCCUAGGCCCCGAGAGACCUUCAGCGCCUUAGUGCGCCUUGAGCCUUUAAAAACAUUGGG